CAUGUUCUGUCCUAUGAGUGGACUCUGCUCUAUAUAGACAGACUUAUGUCACAUUAUAAGUGUUUUGCUUGUAUGCAUCUAUAUGCACCACGUACCUGGAGUCCAGCUUCUUGGAGCUGUAGUUAGAAAUGUUUGGGAGCCACCGGUUUGGAUUCCAGGAACCGAGCAUAGCUUCUCAGCAAGAACAGCAGUGCCCUAACCACCGAGCCAUCUCUCCCCAGACUCUGUUUCUAGUUUGGUUUUGGUUUUGGUUUUGGUUUUGGUUUUGGUUUUAUUUGAGAUGGUCUCAGUGUGUAACUCUGGCUAGCCUGGAAUCCUCUGUAUAGACCAGGCUAACCACAAACUCAGUGAUCUGUCUGCCUGUACUUCAUGAGUAUUGGAUUAAAGGUAUGUGCUACCACGCCCAGCGUCAGAGUCUGUUUCCUGACUGACCAGCCCAUUCCCUCUUUCCUAUGUCUAUGAAAUCUCUUUUCCUAAAAAAAGGUACCUUCUGUUCCCUUCUAGUCGCUCAUCAUGGUGUUUGCUCAUCUGGUGCACACUCAGCUGGAACCUCUGUUGGAGUUCCUGUGUAGCCUCCCAGGACCAACUGGGAAACCUGCCCUGGAGUUUGUGAUGGCUGAGUGGACGAGUCGGCAGCACCUGUUCUAUGGACAGUAUGAAGGCAAAGUUAGCUCUGUGGCACUAUGUAAACUGCUUCAGCAUGGCAUCAAUGCAGAUGACAAGCGGCUACAAGACAUUCGUGUGAAGGGAGAAGAAAUCUACAGCAUGGAUGAGGGCAUCCGCACCCGCUCUAAGUCAGCCAAAAACCCUGAGCGCUGGACAAACAUUCCUUUGUUGGUCAAGAUCCUAAAGCUGAUUAUCAAUGAGCUUUCCAACGUCAUGGAGGCCAACGCUGCUCGCCAGGCCACUCCCGCCGAGUGGAACCAAGAUGAUUCCAAUGAUAUGUGGGAGGACCAGGAGGAAGAGGAAGAGGAGGAAGAGGAUGGUUUAGCUGGCCAGCUUUUAUCUGACAUUCUUGCUACAAGUAAAUAUGAGGAGGAUUACUAUGAAGACGAUGAAGAAGAUGACCCCGAUGCCCUGAAGGACCCUCUCUACCAGAUCGAUCUGCAGGCAUAUCUCACAGACUUCCUUUGCCAGUUUGCUCAGCAGCCCUGUUACAUAAUGUUUUCAUGCCACCUUAACGACACCGAGAGGCGGGUCCUACAGACUAUCGGCAUCUAACAAGGAGAGUCUUCUUCAGCCUGUGUGCUCCCUCCUGGCCCAGCCACAGACCAUUCUACAGUCCUCUCCAGCCUUGAGAUGCACUUUUUCUCAGCCUGGAGUGGCUUCUGGCCCUUAGCCUCGACAGUGACACUGACACUCAGCCCUUGUUUACCAGGGCUGGCAUUUUAAAAGCUAAAGCAAAGAACAUUUAUCAAAGUCCUGUGAAGAUACCCCAAAUCUGGAACUUUCUCCCCAGCUCUGACCCCCUUCAUUCCUAGCAUCCUCUGUUGGCCAGACCAGAAACAUUGACCCGGAUGUGGGUUCCUCAUUUUGCCCCACUUCAGGAGCACAGGAAGUUACUGCCAUUACUCUUCAGAAACAUACCUGUUUGCUUUCAUAGGACAUCUGAUGUGUUCAGAUAGGAACCCCUUGGGAGGUCAUUAUGCUUUCUGCCCUCGGCCAGUGAUGCUCUCGGUUUUCAGUAAGAAGCUGGAGCAGCCACAUACUAAGCCAUUUCCAGUAACCUCACCUUCAUGCUUUCCUCAUGCAACACUAAGGGUCCUUGUCAAAGGUUCCAUCUUCCCAUCUUUGCAUGCCACAGCCCCUCCCCCAGGCUGUUACACACACACACACACACACACACACACACACACACACACACACACAGAGAGAGAGAGAGAGAGCAAGCCAGAUGGAUGGCAACUUGUUUUGGUUUUUUUGUGUUUUUUUGUUUUUUUAGGGAAAAAAAUCAGGAAAAGGAUUUUUAUUUCUAAAUCUGCCUGACCCAUCUAUAUUUAAUAUGCCUCUUCUGCACAUAACCACAGAGUCUGAUAUUCAAAGGUUAUCCCUCUCCCUCAGGAAUCCUCUAAAGUGGUUGAGUUGUAGCCCUCGAAUUUGCAACAUGUAUUUUUCUAGGACAGUAAAGCAAUCUUUACAAAUGAAUUUAGUCUGCAUACUCUAAGGUAUCUCAACACCUCUACCUUCUGUUUAUUCCCUCUAGAAGCAAAGUAAAAACAGAAAAAAGCAUAACAUAUUUUGGCAUCCUACUGUGAUUUGGCAAGCAACUCAGAAAUCUUAGAGAACUGAUAUUUUUCAUCCAGAUAUGUUUAAGAGUCAGUGGUACAGCAUGUGGAUGGCCCUGAGUUCAGGCCCCAGUACUAAAAAACAAGGGAGAUCCCUCAAUGGGUUUUCUUUGUAUUACGAAUUGAGAAUGGGUGAAGAUUAAGAGCAGUGUUCCCUCUGUUUGGUAGUGCCCAGGUCUGAUGUCCAUUUUACAUAGCCAGAGCUAUUUCUUUGGGGUGAUGCGCUAACAAAGGAAGGGGAAUGUAGUGGUAACUUGA
rnacentral:lncRNA from 1 species